UACGGGGGGGGCAAGCGUUGUUCGGAAUUACUGGGCGUAAAGGGCUUGUAGGCGGCCAACUAAGUCCGACGUGAAAUCCCCAGGCUUAACCUGGGAACUGCGUCGGAUACUGGAUGGCUUGAAUUCGGGAGAGGGAUGCAGAAUUCCAGGUGUAGCGGUGAAAUGCGUAGAUAUCGGAAGGAACAUCAGUGGCGAAAGCGGCUUCCUGGACCAGCACCGACGUUCAGGCACGAAAGCGUGGGGAGCAAACAGG
rnacentral:rRNA from 1 species